CGCCCCCUGGCAGCCCAGCAACAAGCGGCCACCGCCCCCGCCCCCGGGGCGGGCAGCUGCAUCAUCCACCCCGGAAUGAAGCGGCACAGCAUCUGCGACACGGAUGGAGAGAUGCUACAGGACCAGGUCUGGUCCGUACACUUCCACACAUCACUACCAGUAUUCCGGGGGAAGUUGGUGCCGAAUUAAGCUGAUUCGAAACGUGGGGCGGCCCGUGACGCACUGCGCCCGUGAAUGUGCCCAUUGUGCGGUGGAGACCCGGCAGGCGCUCCGCGCUCACAAGUCGGGUGGGCAGAACUUUUCACUGACCGUGAGUGGGUCACAUUCUAGAAUUUGCCAUGGACUAAGUAUGAACUUCCAGGGAGACAAUAAAAUACGAAGUUGUAAGGUACACGCUGUCCUUCACUUUUCUACGCAAUUCACACCAAUUUCCAUAAUCCCACUUUUCUGUACGUUCUGCGCCAGGCGAGUGGGCUCCGGACCCCGGGCGCGCGAGGGCGCGCCCGUCGCGUGGGAACGAGACGGAAGGAACCGUACAUUUCGAGUCCCCGGUUGCUGAGAAGCAUAAUCAUAUCACUCCUCUUUUCUUCCCCAUUUGCAGGUUUCGACUUGAAUCCGAAAGCGCCUCUUACCGCCCAUUCUUUGCAGGAGGGCAGAGGGGGCAGGGUCUCCUUUUGGACUGCUGCGCGCCCAUCUAGCUGUCCAGACUCAGAUGCAAGCGUGUCCACGUCUACAGCACAGAGCUGUGCACAUCAGGAGCCUGCGGAUGCGCGGGGCUGGUCGCACUUAACAGCGUGCAUACACAUGGGCGCAUGCACGCGCGCGCGCGCGCGCACACACACACACACACACACACACACACACACACACACUCACACCCCAAAUUACCUCCGGGAUGGAGAAAGCCGCUCCGGAUUGGCCGGCAGGGCCGUCACUCACACCCAGGGGGCAGGGAGACUUUGCAAGGCUGUUUCCUUUUUUUUUUUUUUUUCCUU